CUACCCUCUCAGUAAAGUAAUACUUCCUGAUAUUAUUUUUAAACCUUUGUCCCUCUAAUUUAAGACUAUGUCCUCUUGUUGUGGUAGAUUUUCUUCUUUUAAAUAUAGUCUCCUCCUUUACUGUGUUGAUUCCCUUUAUAUAUUUAAAUGUUUCUAUCAUAUCCCCCCUGUCUCGUCUUUCCUCCAAGCUAUACAUGUUAAGAUCCUUUAACC